rnacentral:misc_RNA from 1 species
GUUUUCCUUCCUCCACCAGGUUCUGGUAAUGCAUCAUCUCCACAGAUAUCAACAGCUACAACUGAAAUAAACUUUCCUGGGGAGACAUCAUCACUGCCAGAUAAGGAAAACGGAAUAGGGAAAGCUAAUAUUGUUACAUGUGCUUCUCCAAAAGAGAAAUCAGAUGGAAAGACUCAAAGACAAGAUUGUAAUGGAAAUACAGAUGGAAGGGCUGUGACAC